GGAGAGGCAGCCACGUUUCUUCCCAGUGAAACCAGUGCCCCCAAAGUGCCACGUGCCCCAAUCUGUGCCUGUGGGCAAAUCUGCCACCCUCCAGUGCCAGGAAAAGGAAGGCUUCCCAGAGCCGACAUACAACUGGUACCGCAAUGGCGAAGCUUUGCCGCUCGACUCUAAAUCCAGCUCCAAAUUCCAGAACUCCUCCUUCACAGUGAACACAAAGACAGGCACGUUGGUAACUUCGGAACAAGUUCUGCGAAGAACGCCUUGUGAGAGCUUUGCCUGAGGAGUGCUGUCAG